UACGAAGGGGGCUAGCGUUGCUCGGAAUCACUGGGCGUAAAGGGUGCGUAGGCGGGUCUUUAAGUCAGGGGUGAAAUCCUGGAGCUCAACUCCAGAACUGCCUUUGAUACUGAGGAUCUUGAGUUCGGGAGAGGUGAGUGGAACUGCGAGUGUAGAGGUGAAAUUCGUAGAUAUUCGCAAGAACACCAGUGGCGAAGGCGGCUCACUGGCCCGAUACUGACGCUGAGGCGCGAAGGCGUGGGGAGCCGAACGGG
rnacentral:rRNA from 1 species